rnacentral:lncRNA from 1 species
AAAAUACCCAGAUCCAAAAGCAGCAGACGGCUGGGGACACUGGGCGCGUCCUGGAAGAAACAGUGACAAGGAUGUCGCCCACCACCUUUAUUACCACCUUCUCCCGCUUACUUCUCCCUCAUCACCCACGGCCUCACUCCUCGCAUUUUUCUUCUGUUAGGCUGAAAGAAGUUUCUCUCUGAGUCUUCUCAAGUACUUUUGGAGGCUCUCCAACCUCGAACCUUAAAAUUUGACGGCCCCUUCCUGAAAUGCAAAGGACCAAGACGAAUUCCCCAAGUGCCCAGAGUCUUAAUCCUACAGUCAAAGAGUUUGCUCCCCGAUGCGUCCUCCGCAGAAACCCUUUGAAAUCGCUUGGUCCAGGGCCAUGCUUGUGACAAGGACUCCCAAUGUGGUGGAGGCAUGUGCUGUGCUGUCAGUAUCUGGGUCAAGAGCAUAAGGAUUUGCACACCUAUGGGCAAACUGGGAGACAGCUGCCAUCCACUGACUCGUAAAGUUCCAUUUUUUGGGCGGAGGAUGCAUCACACUUGCCCAUGUCUGCCAGGCUUGGCCUGUUUACGGACUUCAUUUAACCGAUUUAUUUGUUUAGCCCAAAAGUAAUCGCUCUGGAGUAGAAACCAAAUGUGAAUAGCCACAUCUUACCUGUAAAGUCUUACUUGUGAUUGUGCCAAACAAAAAAUGUGCCAGAAAGAAAUGCUCUUGCUUCCUCAACUUUCCAAGUAACAUUUUUAUCUUUGAUUUGUAAAUGAUUUUUUUUUUUUUUUAUCGAAAGAGAAUUUUACUUUUGGAUAGAAAUAUGAAGUGUAAGGCAUUAUGGAACUGGUUCUUAUUUCCCUGUUUGUGUUUUGGUUUGAUUUGGCUUUUUUCUUAAAUGUCAAAAACGUACCCAUUUUCACAAAAAUGAGGAAAAUAAGAAUUUGAUAUUUUGUUAGAAAAACUUUUUUUUUUUUUUCUCACCACCCCAAGCCCCAUUUGUGCCCUGCCACACAAAUACACCUACAGCUUUUGGUCCCUUGCCUCUUCCACCUCAAAGAAUUUCAAGGCUCUUACCUUACUUUAUUUUUGUCCAUUUCUCUUCCCUCCUCUUGCAUUUUAAAGUGGAGGGUUUGUCUCUUUGAGUUUGAUGGCAGAAUCACUGAUGGGAAUCCAGCUUUUUGCUGGCAUUUAAAUAGUGAAAAGAGUGUAUAUGUGAACUUGACACUCCAAACUCCUGUCAUGGCACG